AGAGCGAACGCUGGCGGCAGGCCUAAAACAUGCAAGUCGAACGAGCCCUUCGGGGUUAGUGGCGGGCGGGUGAGUAACACGUGGGAACGUGCCUUUUGGUUCGGAACAACUCAGGGAAACUUGAGCUAAUACCGAAUGUGCCCUUCGGGGGAAAGAUUUAUCGCCAUUAGAGCGGCCCGCGUCUGAUUAGCUAGUUGGUGAGGUAAAGGCUCACCAAGGCUUCGAUCAGUAGCUGGUCUGAGAGGACGACCAGCCACACUGGGACUGAGACACGGCCCCAGACUCCUACGGGAGGCAGCAGUGGGGAAUUUUGGACAAUGGGGGAACCCUGGAUCCAGCCAUGCCGCGUGCAGGAUGAAGGCCUUCGGGUUGUAAACUGCUUUUGUACGGACGAAAAGGCUUUCUCGAAUAAAGAGGGCUCAUGACGGUACCGUAAGAAUAAGCACCGGCUAACUACGUGCCAGCAGCCGC
rnacentral:rRNA from 1 species